GACGAACGCUGGCGGCGUGCCUAAUACAUGCAAGUAGAACGCUGAAGGAGGAGCUUGCUUCUCCGGAUGAGUUGCGAACGGGUGAGUAACGCGUAGGUAACCUGCCUGGUAGCGGGGGAUAACUAUUGGAAACGAUAGCUAAUACCGCAUAAGAGUAGAUGUUGCAUGACAUUUACUUAAAAGGUGCAAUUGCACCACUACCAGAUGGACCUGCGUUGUAUUAGCUAGUUGGUGGGGUAACGGCUCACCAAGGCGACGAUACAUAGCCGACCUGAGAGGGUGAUCGGCCACACUGGGACUGAGACACGGCCCAGACUCCUACGGGAGGCAGCAGUAGGGAAUCUUCGGCAAUGGACGGAAGUCUGACCGAGCAACGCCGCGUGAGUGAAGAAGGUUUUCGGAUCGUAAAGCUCUGUUGUAAGAGAAGAACGAGUGUGAGAGUGGAAAGUUCACACUGUGAC
rnacentral:rRNA from 1 species